rnacentral:rRNA from 1 species
GCCCACUUGUGGGUGGAUUAUGGCGAACGGGUGAGUAACACAUGAGUAACCUGCCCUUGACUCUGGGAUAAGCCUGGGAAACUGGGUCUAAUACCGGAUAUGACCUUCCAUCGCAUGGGGGUUGGUGGAAAGCUUUUGUGGUUUUGGAUGGACUCGCGGCCUAUCAGCUUGUUGGUGGGGUAAUGGCCUACCAAGGCGACUACGGGUAGCCGGCCUGAGAGGGUGACCGGCCACACUGGGACUGAGACACGGCCCAGACUCCUACGGGAGGCAGCAGUGGGGAAUAUUGCACAAUGGGCGCAAGCCUGAUGCAGCGACGCCGCGUGAGGGAUGACGGCCUUCGGGUUGUAAACCUCUUUCAGUAGGGAAGAAGCGUAAGUGACGGUACCUGCAGAAGAAGCGCCGGCUAACUACGUGCCAGCAGCCGCGGUAAUACGUAGGGCGCAAGCGUUAUCCGGAAUUAUUGGGCGUAAAGAGCUCGUAGGCGGUUUGUCGCGUCUGCCGUGAAAGUCCGGGGCUCAACUCCGGAUCUGCGGUGGGUACGGGCAGACUAGAGUGAUGUAGGGGAGACUGGAAUUCCUGGUGUAGCGGUGAAAUGCGCAGAUAUCAGAGGAACACCGAUGGCGAAAGCAGGUCUCUGGGCAUUAACUGACGCUGAGGAGCGAAAGCAUGGGGAGCGAACAGGAUUAGAUACCCUGGUAGUCCAUGCCGUAAACGUUGGGCACUAGUGUGGGGGACAUUCCACGUUUUCCGCGCCGUAGCUAACGCAU